UUAUGAGGCAAACUUUUCUUACAGGAAAGAUGACCCUGUGAAUAAAGCCCCGAUUGAGAUGCUAAUCGUCCUAUAAGAAUGCCGGAGACACGCAAUGAAGUCUACAAGUGCUGAAGAGUCUCUGGUGAAAGGCAUUCCCGUUAAUCAUGGGUUAUGAGCUUCGCCGUUGACGUCUUCCCGGGGAUGAUGGCAGAAGAGGAGCAGAGGACCUUCCCAGUUCAAGAUGCUACUGCGGAGUUGCAGGCUUGUUGGGAAGCAGAGGUUUUCCUGGAAAACUAAAUGGUACCCUGAAACUCCCGAGGUCCGGAAGGCUGCCUUUGAGCUCCACGGCGCUCCUAGACUGCCAAAGUUCCAACGGAUGUGUGUAGUUUUCAUAACUACUCGGGGUUGCCAAAGGUGCUCCAGGAAUUCCGAGAAGAUCCCCAGCAAGUUAUCGGCUGUUUUUUUCAUAUUUUUCAGGUCGUGCUGGACGUGGGGUCGUGCUGGACGUGGGGUCGUGCUGGACGUGGGGCCGUGCUGGAUGCAGAGGAAGUUAGAAGAGUUGGACCCUAUAUGUAGGGUACCAAUAUGGCCCUAGAUGGCUCUAGAUGGCUCUCAGGAUGACUGAAGGGUCAAGUGAUGGAGGCCAAGAUGGGAUGCUAAAACCCAUCUUGGAUGCAGAAACUCCACAUCAGUGUCUUGAGGACACAUGAUGGCCUAAGUGGAUUAAGCACAGCACCAGGUGUAUCAGAUGAAAAUGUCUACUCUGAAGUUUGCUAGAGAAGACAAUCCACAGACGUUGUAGAAGCAGAUCUACUGCGGCAAGAUGUGGAGGGUCCUGGUGGUGGCGUCAGUCUGUAACAGAGACAGUACAUGUGACUAGUACUUGCCAACAGUGCAUGACAGAGACGUGACCAAGCGGCUAACGAGCCGAUCAGUGGUGAAGAGGAUAAAAGAAAAAAAUAAGAUAAAAAUGGACCUAGGAGACCUCCAGGAUUACUGAAGGGUCAAGUGAUGGAGGCCAAGAUGGGAUGCUAAAACCCAUGUUGGAUGCAGAAGCUCCCCAUCAGUGUCUUGAGGACACAUGAUGGCCUAAGUGGAUUAAGCACAGCACCAGGUGUAUCAGGUCAG